rnacentral:rRNA from 1 species
AUAUUGGACAAUGGGGGCAACCCUGAUCCAGCCAUGCCGCGUGUGUGAAGAAGGUCUUCGGAUUGUAAAGCACUUUAAGUUGGGAGGAAGGGCUUUAGGUUAAUACCCUGAAGUUUUGACGUUACCAACCGAAUAAGCACCGGCUAACUCAGUGCCAGCAGCCGCGGUAAUACAGAGGGUGCAAGAGUUAAUCGGACUUACUGGGCGUAAAGAGGGCGUAGGUGGUUCAGGAAGAUGGGUGUGAAAAACCCGGGCUUAACCAGGGAACAGCUUAAAUAACUGCUGAGCUAGAGUACGGUAGAGGGUAGUGGAAUUUCCUGUGUAGCGGUGAAAUGAGUAGAUAUAGGAAGGAACACCAGUGACGAAGGCGACUACCUGGACUGAUACUGACACUGAGGUGCGAAAGCGUGGGGAGCAAAC